rnacentral:rRNA from 1 species
CACGUAGGGGGCGAGCGUUGUCCGGAAUUAUUGGGCGUAAAGAGCUCGUAGGCGGUGUGUCGCGUCGGCCGUGAAAACUUGGGGCUUAACUCUGAGCGUGCGGUCGAUACGGGCAUCACUUGAGUUCGGCAGGGGAGACUGGAAUUCCUGGUGUAGCGGUGAAAUGCGCAGAUAUCAGGAGGAACACCGGUGGCGAAGGCGGGUCUCUGGGCCGAUACUGACGCUGAGGAGCGAAAGCAUGGGGAGCGAACAGG